CGUGAAUUACAUAUUUUUGUUCCAGGGUCUGCAGUGACGUAUCGUCCAGUGUUUUCAACAGCCGAACUUGGUUCAUCGUAUAACUUCACAUGUCCAGCUGAUUUGACCAAGAACUACAAAUAUAGGUUUCACACAAGAGGUUUUUUCGGGCCGCGCACAUUGAUAACACCUGAUGCUAAUACUAAACAAUUUGGACAUGUAUUGAUGAAGUCAAAUCUGAGAUACACAGAUUCUGGAUUGUAUUUUUGUUCUGUUUAUGAUCAAAGUCAUAAAGUGAUAAAGAAAUUUAAACAUUCAAUGAUUGGAAUACUUAGUGUUUUCCACGUAAGUAAUUAAUGUUUUGGACUUUUAAGUUUCAGAAAUAAUAAAUUAGAAUAUGUAUAUAUGGGUGCCUGCCAUGCACUGUUGGUAUACAGUGCACAUAGAUAGAGACUUUAUUUAAAGAGGGUGACACUUAAUAGUACGAAGUACCAAUGAACUUGUGGCCCUUGUGCCCUUGUGGCACAUGUACCUCAAACCACCAAAAAGCACAUCGCAGUAUUUUUUUUUAAAUGUACACUCCAGUUAAAGAUGGAUUUGUAUUUGUAUUAUGGUGAAAAAUAUGAUUGUGUAUGUAUACCACAUACAGCGGAUCAAACAAAGUUCGGGCAGCAUGAGUGUUGUAUUGACUAUAUAGCGGUUCAUCAAGGCCAUCAGCAAUGUGUAAUAUCAUGCAUUAGAGUUGUGCAGGUUUGGGCCCCUGAAAGUGUGUAAUUUAUCAGCUCUGAAUGAAAAGUUCUGAAAACAUUCUAAAUUUUGUCAAUAAAGUGGAAAAAAUUGUUUUACUAAUUCCAUGGUAAUGUGAAAAUGUUAUAAUUCACAUGCAUAAAUUUAAAAUGCAUUUAGCUAAGCUUUUAAGCUAAAGUACCUUCGGUUUAGGGGUACAUAUAGUGGUAUUGUGAAUAUUGAUGUUUCUACAACUUUGCUAACAGAAACAAAAAAUUCCGGAAAUUAUAGAUAGAAGAAUCGUAACAAUAUAAGAUCUUUGACUUUUUAUUGUAAUAUUAACAUUCAUACUCUCAUUAAGUUACAUUGUUACAAGUUGUAUAGCAACAGAUAUUAAACAAUUAUUGAAUGAGGUGGAGUGGGAUAUGAGGAAUUAUUGAGGCUGAGAUAACACAAACCAUUAUUUAUUAGAAACAAAUAUAUACACAAGUUUUUUCCAGCUAACUUGAUAAAUAAGUUUGUACAUUUUAAAAUAAAAAUAUUUGAAUUCUGAGAUUGGCAUAAUAUUUUUAAAAAUCCUCCAUAUUUACUUUUUUAGGUAAACCAGACUCAAAUUGACCGGAUGAUCUGAUUCUGACUGCAGUAACAAAGAACAAAUUAAAUUAUAAGUAUCAAUUAAUGGAACUGUAAUUUUCAUGUUGAAUUAUUUGACGAUACAGUCAAAGUGAUUUUUGUGUAAUUGAAUAAUAGGUGUUAACGUGAUUACAUGGGUAGCAAGCAUUAAUAAAUUUAAAUAUCGUAAUCAG